UGGACAUCAUACCAAAAGAACUAAAGGUAAAAAAUCCAUUACAAUCUACAUAUCACACAGAUUAUGCUGAGAGACUGUCACACACUCUCAAAGAAACUGCGAAACCACCUGAUCAGCAUCCUAUAUAGCAAAGAGGGAAAGAUUAUGAAUGAGCUCUCAAAACUGGAUACUCGCAUAAAAAACCAACCUUCCACACAAACUUACUCAUGGAUAGACUUUACAAAAACUAGACAAGCCAUUUACAACACAAAUUUUGCCUCUCUACAAAGGAAAAAGGACACUAAAUUAUUUAAACUGCUACAUGCCACAAGGAGCCACAACAGUAGUUCCCUUAACCCACCCAACAAUAUUGUUAAUCUUUCCAGCUAUACUCUUAGCCCAGCAGAAGAGUCUGUCCUAUCUUGGGGCCUCUCCUUUUGUCCCUCCAGACCCACGAACAUGAUACAGUUCUGCGGUGACCUAGAAUCCUACUUUCGACAUCUCCGACUCAAAGAAUAUUUCCAACAUACCUCUGAACAGCAUACUAACCCACAGAAUCCCCCCUACCAGCACUACAAAAACAAGGAUUCUGCGUGUACUCCUCUGGAUGGUCGAAACAACAGACUGGACUUCUACAUAGAUUGCUUCCGUCAACGUGCAAAGGCUGAAAUUGUGGAAAAGCAACAUCACUUGCCUCAUAACCUCAGCCAUGCUGAACACAACGCCAUCGACAGCCUCAGAAACAACUCUGACAUCACAAUUAAAAAGGCUGACAAAGGAGGUGCUGUCAUCAUCAUGAAUAAAUUGGAAUAUGACCAAGAGGCUGCUAGACAGCUCUCUAACACCACAUUCUACAGGCCAUUAUCCUCUGAUCCCACUGAGGAUUACCUAAAGAAACUACACCAUCUGCUAAAAAAAACUCCCUGACAAAGCACAGGAACAAAUCUGUACAGACACAUGCAUAGAACCCUGACCAGGGGUAUUCUAUUUGCUACCCAAGAUCCAUAAACCUGGAAAUCCUGGACGCCCCAUCAUCUCAGGCAUUGGCACCUUAACAUCAGGCUUGUCUGGUUAUGUGGACUCUCUCCUUAGGCCCUACGCUACCAGCUC
rnacentral:lncRNA from 1 species